rnacentral:rRNA from 1 species
GACGAACGCUGGCGGCGUGCUUAACACAUGCAAGUCGAACGGAAAGGCCCUGCUUUUGUGGGGUGCUCGAGUGGCGAACGGGUGAGUAACACGUGAGUAACCUGCCCUUGACUUUGGGAUAACUUCAGGAAACUGGGGCUAAUAACGGAUAGGAGCUCCUGCUGCAUGGUGGGGGUUGGAAAGUUUCGGCGGUUGGGGAUGGACUCGCGGCUUAUCAGCUUGUUGGUGGGGUAGUGGCUUACCAAGGCGUUGACGGGUGGCCGGCCUGAGAGGGUGACCGGCCACAUUGGGACUGAGAUACGGCCCAGACUCCUACGGGAGGCAGCAGUGGGGAAUAUUGCACAAUGGGCGGAGGCCGGAUGCAGCAACGCCGCGUGCGGGAUGACGGCCUUCGGGUUGUAAACCGCUUUCGCCUGUGACGAAGCGUGAGUGACGGUAAUGGGUAAAGAAGCACCGGCUAACUACGUG